CCUACGGGGGGCAGCAGUGGGGAAUAUUGGACAAUGGGGGCAACCCUGAUCCAGCCAUGCCGCGUGUGUGAAGAAGGCCCUCGGGUUGUAAAGCACUUUCAGUGAGGAAGAACGCCUGGUGGUUAAUACCCAUCAGGAAAGACAUCACUCACAGAAGAAGCACCGGCUAACUCCGUGCCAGCAGCCGCGGUAAUACGGAGGGUGCGAGCGUUAAUCGGAAUUACUGGGCGUAAAGCGCGCGUAGGUGGCUUGAUAAGCCGGUUGUGAAAGCCCCGGGCUCAACCCGGGAACGGCAUCCGGAACUGUCAAGCUAGAGUGCAGGAGAGGAAGGUAGAAUUCCCGGUGUAGCGGUGAAAUGCGUAGAGAUCGGGAGGAACACCAGUGGCGAAGGCGGCCUUCUGGACUGACACUGACGCUGAGGUGCGAAAGCGUGGGUAGCAAACAGGAUUAGAUACCCUAGUAGUC
rnacentral:rRNA from 1 species